CUGAGUAUCUUACUCUCUACCCUUUGUGAACCAUUAUACCUGUUGCUUCGGCGGCGCCCCCCCGGGGGUGCCCGCCGGUGAUCAGAAUCUCUGUUUUCGAACCCGACGAUACUUCUGAGUGUUCUUAGCGAACUGUCA
rnacentral:misc_RNA from 1 species